AGCUCAAUUGGUAGAGCACCUGACCCUUAAUCAGUAUGAGCGGUUCGAAUCCGCAAAUGA
rnacentral:tRNA from 1 species